rnacentral:rRNA from 1 species
CCGCACGCGCGCUACACUGACUGAGCCAGCGAGUUCUUCCUUGACCGAAAGGUCCGGGUAAUCUUGUUAAACUCAGUCGUGCUGGGGAUAGAGCAUUGCAAUUAUUGCUCUUCAACGAGGAAUCCCUAGUAAGCGCAAGUCAUCAGCUUGCGUUGAUUACGUCCCUGCCCUUUGUACACACCGCCCGUCGCUACUACCGAUUGAAUGGCUCAGUGAGGCGUCCGGACUGGCCCAGAGAGGUGGGCAACUACCACUCAGGGCCGGAAAGCUCUCCAAACUCGGUCAUUUAGAGGAAGUAAAAGUCGUAACAAGGUCUCCGUUGGUGAACCAGCGGAGGGAUCAUUACCGAGUUUACAACUCCCAAACCCCUGUGAACAUACCUAUCGUUGCUUCGGCGGAUCCGCCCCGGCGCCCUCGGGCCCGGAUCAGGCGCCCGCCGGAGACCCAAAACUCUUGUAUUUCUUUAGUAUCUUCUGAGUAAACAAGCAAAUAAAUUAAAACUUUCAACAACGGAUCUCUUGGUUCUGGCAUCGAUGAAGAACGCAGCGAAAUGCGAUAAGUAAUGUGAAUUGCAGAAUUCCGUGAAUCAUCGAAUCUUUGAACGCACAUUGCGCCCGCCAGUAUUCUGGCGGGCAUGCCUGUUCGAGCGUCAUUUCAACCCUCAAGCCCCCGGGCUUGGUGUUGGGGCUCGGCCCGUCCCUCGCGGCGCGCCGUCCCCGAAAUCA